AUGUGUGGACAUCUUGGGGAGAAGUAUAACAGAAAAACAAGAUGCCACAAGAGAAAAAGCCCAAGCAGUCCAGGGGAGGAUGAGAGACAACAUGAGAUAGAGCUGAGCCAACCCAGCCAUGGACGGGCCCGCCAGUCCCCAGCCAACCUGACAGCUGCACACAGACACACGAACAAGCCCCAUGCAGAUCAGCGAACUACCCACCCAACCCACAGAGUUGCAAAAAAAAUAAUAGAUGGUUGCUGUUUUCAGGCACUAAGUUUUGGGGUGUUUUGUUAUACACCAAUAGAUAUGUGAUACAGAGAGAACCAAAGUAACUUCAGAACUGUGGACCAGACAUUUCCUAAUGGGCCAGAUAUUUUCUAAUGUGGAGAGAAGGGAAAAUCAGUUGCCUAAGAUUCAUGGCUUUAUUCAAUGGAGAGAAUUCAAGGGUAAAGGGGCCUCAAGUGCUUCAAGUGCCGUCCAGCUCUCCCUCUGUUCAGAUUUUAACAAAUUUGCCAGCCUCUUCUGGCAUCCACAUCAGGUCAUUUAAUUAAGCAAUGGAAAGGUAAUUAAGACAGAAAUAUGAUUAUUUGGGUUAGUCUUGUGCACCCACAGAGGAAGAAAAGCAGAAUGUGCCAGCUGCAAACAUCUGCAGUGAAAGAAGUCUGGGACAAAAAGCAGUUUCUGCUUCUGCCUCCUCCUGUUCUUUCAGAAAACACCAGGCUUCUAGGGCAGUAAAUCAGUAGUGAGUCACUAGCUGUAUAAUAUGUGCUGCUCGUCUCGUGAGAUAUUAAACCGAGGUCCCUUCUGCUCACAUCCUGCACCUGUCACCAAAUGUCCAAUAAAAAUCCUGUUCUCCGAGGGCAUGUCAGAAAGGAGCAGGGCGAAGAUUUGCCCAAGCCUUCCUCAGCAGGCCAGGAGAGCCCCCAGGCAAGGUACUCCCCAUGGCCUGCCCCAAGGCUGAGUUAUCAGAGGCCCUCAUCCGCAAAUCCCACCUGAUCUUUGGCUGCUGGCAAUCACACACAGAGAAAUGAGCACAAAAUAAGGGCUGUGUGUGACACACUCAAGGUUCCUCCCUCUCCGAGGCAGUCUGGGGAGUUUCUGGGGUAGAUCUCACCUAGGUAGUGGGGAAGAAUGGGCAUGGGCCAGAAGUCAGGAGACCUGGGUUCAAACCUUUUGUCAUGUAGUCAGUCUGUGACCCUGGACAAGAUUCCCCACUUCCCUGAUGGCUCUGCUGCAUUAUCUGCUGUGAAAUAGGGACAGUGAUAGCUGUUUGCCAAUCUCACAUAUCCGCCUUAAUUUUUUUUACACUGGAUAGUGUAUAGGAAAGAGGGCUUGAAACGGCAAGAAACACUCAAAAUUUGACAUUCUCAUUCUUGAGUUACGUGAUGUAAAAGCAUAAUGUCUAGGGCCAGGUGACCUGAAUUUAAGCCUCUGCCUCUUACUGACUGCGUGACCUUGUGCAGGUUACUUAGUUCAACUUUCCUCAUCUGCAAAAUGGGGCUACUAACAAUACUUCUAAAAGUUUUGAGGAUUAAAUAGAUUGUGGGUAAAGCCAUCAGAAAAGUGAAUAGAACAUAGUGGUGAACAAUACAUGUUCAUGCAUUAUCAUAAUUUUGUUGUUUCAUUAUUAUGAAUCUCUACUCUGUACCCAUGGCAUUUCUAUUUACAAACAGGUACAUAUUUGGAUUUAUAUUCCAGAUCUUCAGCUUCUGAAUUCUAUAACCUGGGAAACUAUUCAACUUACCUGUUUUUUUUUUUCCUCACCUGCCCAGUGAUGGCCCAGAGAGGGUUAAGUGACACCGUCCACAUAAAAUACCUGGAACAUAGCACUAGUGCAAUAUUAGUUGCCUCCCUUUUUUCUUUUAAUUGAGAUUUUAAAAACAACAACAUAACAGCAUUUGCCAUUAUAACCAUUUCCAAGUGUAUAGUUCAGUAGUAUUAGAGUCUUCACUUUUUCAUCUAGUAAAAUGGAAACUCUAAACCCAUUAAACAUGAACUACUUGUUCCCUCGUCUCUGCAGUCCCUGGUAGCCACCAUUCUAUUUGCUUCCAUAAAUCUGACUACUCUUGAUACCUCACUUAAUGGCAUCUUAGAGUGUUUAUUAUUUUGUGACUGGCCUAUUUCACUUAGCAUAAUAUCCUCAAGGUUCAGCCAUGUCAUAAUAUGUGAGAGGAUUUCCUUCCCUCUUAAGACUGAAUAACAUUCCAUUGUAUGUUUAUACUACAUUGUGUUUAUACAUUCAUCCAUUGAUAGACAUUUGGGUUGCUUCCACUUCUUGCCUAUUGUGAAUAGUCUCACUGCUGUGAGCAUGGGUGUGUAGUUGCCUUCCUUUUAUCCCCUAUGCUGAUGCAAAUAAUUGAAUAACAGGCAGGUACACUUCCUUUCAUGUUUGACUCUUCAUAGUCAAGGCAAAUUAAUCUUGAACAUCACUAGCAUUAUGGAUGUUAUGUUUCUCAAGUUGAUUUCCUAAUAUGGAAAUUAAUAUUUUCUAUAUUAAUUUAUUAGCAUGAUUCUAUAUUAAUAUUUCAAUAUUAAUAUUGACACUCUUUGUUGUUUUCUGCAAAAAUUC
ensembl:lncRNA